CCUACGGGUGGCAGCAGUGAGGAAUAUUGGUCAAUGGGCGCGAGCCUGAACCAGCCAAGUAGCGUGAAGGAUGACUGCCCUACGGGUUGUAAACCUCUUUUAUAAAGGAAUAAAGUUAGGCACGUGUGCCUUUUUGCAUGUACUUCAUGAAUAAGGAACGGCUAAUUCCGUGCCAGCAGCCGCGGUAAUACGGAGGAUCCGAGCGUUAUCCGGAUUUAUUGGGUUUAAAGGGAGCGUAGGGGGGUUGUUAAGUCAGAUGUGAAAUUUUGUGGCUCAACCGUGAGAGUGCAAUGGAUACUGGAAGUCUUGAGUACAGGUGAGGUAGGCGGAAUUCGUGGUGUAGCGGUGAAAUGCUUAGAUAUCACGAAGAACUCCGAUUGCGAAGGCAGCUUGCUAAACUGUCACUGACGUUGAUGCUCGAAAGUGUGGGUAUCAAACAGGAUUAGAUACCCGGGUAGUC
rnacentral:rRNA from 1 species